rnacentral:rRNA from 1 species
UACGGGAGGCAGCAGUGGGGAAUAUUGGACAAUGGGCGAAAGCCUGAUCCAGCCAUGCCGCGUGUGUGAAGAAGGCCUUUUGGUUGUAAAGCACUUUAAGUGGGGAGGAAAGCUUAUGGUUAAUACCCAUAAGCCCUGACGUUACCCACAGAAUAAGCACCGGCUAACUCUGUGCCAGCAGCCGCGGUAAU